rnacentral:rRNA from 1 species
GACGAACGCUGGCGGCGUGCUUAACACAUGCAAGUCGAACGGAAAGGCCCUGCUUUUGUGGGGUGCUCGAGUGGCGAACGGGUGAGUAACACGUGAGUAACCUGCCCUUGACUUUGGGAUAACUUCAGGAAACUGGGGCUAAUACCGGAUAGGAGCUCCUGCUGCAUGGUGGGGGUUGGAAAGUUUCGGCGGUUGGGGAUGGACUCGCGGCUUAUCAGCUUGUUGGUGGGGUAGUGGCUUACCAAGGCUUUGACGGGUAGCCGGCCUGAGAGGGUGACCGGCAAAAUGGGGAUUAGAAUACGGCCAAGACUCCUACGGGAGGAAGCAGUGGGGAAUAUUGAACAAGGGGCGGAAGCCUGAUGAAGAAACGCGGCGGGGGGAUGACGGCCUUCGGGUUGUAAACCGCCUUCGCCUGUGACGAAGCGUGAGUGACGGUAAUGGGUAAAGAAGCACCGGCUAACUACGUG